rnacentral:rRNA from 1 species
UACAGAGGGGGCAAGCGUUGUUCGGAAUUACUGGGCGUAAAGGGCGCGUAGGCGGCCUUCUAAGUCGAACGUGAAAUCCCCAGGCUCAACCUGGGAACUGCGUCUGAUACUGGAUGGCUUGAAUCCGGGAGAGGGAUGCAGAAUUCCUGGUGUAGCGGUGAAAUGCGCAGAUAUCAGGAGGAACACCGGUGGCGAAGGCGGCUCACUGGCCCGAUACUGACGCUGAGGCACGAAAGCGUGGGGAGCAAACAGG